rnacentral:rRNA from 1 species
UACGUAGGGUGCGAGCGUUGUCCGGAAUUACUGGGCGUAAAGAGCUCGUAGGCGGUCUGUCGCGUCUGCUGUGAAAACUCGGGGCUUAACCCCGGGCCUGCAGGUGGGUACGGGCAGACUAGAGUGCGGUAGGGGAGACUGGAAUUCCUGGUGUAGCGGUGAAAUGCGCAGAUAUCAGGAGGAACACCGGUGGCGAAGGCGGGUCUCUGGGCCGUAACUGACGCUGAGGAGCGAAAGCGUGGGGAGCGAACAGG